AGUCGAACGAAGCGCUUAAAUGGAUUUCUUCGGAUUGAAGUUUUUGUGACUGAGCGGCGGACGGGUGAGUAACGCGUGGGUAACCUGCCUCAUACAGGGGGAUAACAGUUAGAAAUGACUGCUAAUACCGCAUAAGCGCACAGUGCUGCAUGGCACAGUGUGAAAAACUCCGGUGGUAUGAGAUGGACCCGCGUCUGAUUAGCUGGUUGGUGGGGUAACGGCCUACCAAGGCGACGAUCAGUAGCCGGCCUGAGAGGGUGAACGGCCACAUUGGGACUGAGACACGGCCCAAACUCCUACGGGAGGCAGCAGUGGGGAAUAUUGCACAAUGGGGGAAACCCUGAUGCAGCGACGCCGCGUGAGCGAAGAAGUAUUUCGGUAUGUAAAGCUCUAUCAGCAGGGAAGAAAAUGACGGUACCUGACUAAGAAGCACCGGCUAAAUACGUGCCAGCAGCCGCGGUAAUACGUAUGGUGCAAGCGUUAUCCGGAUUUACUGGGUGUAAAGGGAGCGUAGACGGUUGUGUAAGUCUGAUGUGAAAGCCCGGGGCUCAACCCCGGGACUGCAUUGGAAACUAUGUAACUAGAGUGUCGGAGAGGUAAGCGGAAUUCCUAGUGUAGCGGUGAAAUGCGUAGAUAUUAGGAGGAACACCAGUGGCGAAGGCGGCUUACUGGACGAUCACUGACGUUGAGGCUCGAAAGCGUGGGGAGCAAACAGGAUUAGAUACCCUGGUAGUCCACGCCGUAAACGAUGACUACUAGGUGUCGGGGAGCAAAGCUCUUCGGUGCCGCAGCAAACGCAAUAAGUAGUCCACCUGGGGAGUACGUUCGCAAGAAUGAAACUCAAAGGAAUUGACGGGGACCC
rnacentral:rRNA from 1 species